rnacentral:lncRNA from 1 species
GUAGACGCUUUGGAUCCCGGUGAUGAGAGACUGAGGACUCGGUCACAGUUGCCAUCUACUAUGUCCAUACUCAUUUCUUUAAACUAUGCAUGAUUUUAUUUUAAUUUUUGUCUAUUCUCUAUAUUCAUUGUUGCAAACGAUUAUAAACACAAUAUUUUCUAAGGAAAAGUAAUUAAAAAGACACUAAUAAUAAAAUUCUAUACUUGUCUUGUUUUAAGCAUGAAAAAUAUAAUGGAUACUAUCUAGUAACAAAAAAAUAUCAAGUCAAUUUGAUGAACUCUAUGCUCAAAAUCUUUAUACAUGCUCAAACUAACAAGUCUAGCUAACAAGUCGAUUUGAUGAACCCUAUUAAUUAAAUUUAUUUUAUAAUCUCAAUUAUAUAUAGAAGAAAGAUUAAAAAAACGACAAUAUAAUUAAGCUAUGGAUACUAAUUUAAGCUACGAAUUCAAACUAACAAGUAAUAAAUUUUAGCUCAAAGUGGCAGAGAAAUCACAAGGGCAAAAAUAACAUGAAAAUGACAUGAGAGGAUGAAGCUAGUUGCCUCUAAACACGAAAAGUCGAUGGUGGAGUCGAAGAAGAUCACCAAUGGGCGCCGGCGAUGUCGACUCAAGCUAUAACCAUUGAUUUUGAGCUUAAAAUAGAGGAAAAAAUCACAAAAACAAAAAACUACAUAAAAAAGAUAACAGGGAAUGAAGUUAGUUACCCCUAGACCCAAGGAAAUGAUGAUGGCGUCGAAGAAGAUCGCCAAUGGGUGCCGGAGAUGAAGAACAAGCAAGAAAAAGCAAGAACAAACAAUGGCAAGCAAGAAGAGAGGGAACAAACUCACUGAAUUUUGAAUAGGCUCAGUCUCGGGGAGACAAAAGGG